AGAGAAGACCCGUAAAUAACCACAAAAUCUGAAUUUAUUUUUCCAGGAGUAGAACCCUGAAGGCCCACAGUAACACCAUCUUCAGUAACUGACGAAAGCGUCCGUGGUCAAAACUCCAUUUACCAACAAUUCAGGGACCUGUAAUAAUUUCUUCUCGCGUGGAUACUCACUCCUUAAUCCUUAAGAAUAACGUGGUCAAAGGAUACACAUUUCACUGUCUCCUUCCUCUCUCACAGGCUGAAGCUUAUUACCUCGUAGACCAGACUCGUCGUCGUUCCAAUUUUGCCUCUUUCAGUUCAAUGAGUUUUUUGAGACCCUCUGUACUGCAUCAGUUCCUUCUAACUUCCAUUUCUCUUAAAUGGAUGCCGUGCCAGAGCUGGGGAUUUCUUCGAUGGCCUGGUCUUGAUGGUUUCUUCAGACUUCUUGUUUUGGUGCUUUUAUGGUCUAUGUGUUCGGAGAUUCGAUUCAUUCCUUCUUCUUCCAUGUACCCCACUCUUCGCGUUGGUGAUCGCGUCUUUAUUGAGAAGGCCUCAUACUACAUCCGGUCUCCUGCUAUAAAUGACAUUGUCAUAUUCCGAGCUCCAAAACAGCCUGGAACCAGCGAGGAAGUUGUUUUCAUUAAGCGAAUUGUUGCGAAAGCUGGAGACUAUGUUCAGGUUCAUCACGGAUCACUUUAUGUCAACGGAAAAGCUCAGAGGGAAGACUUCAUAGCAGCACGACCAACAUACACAUCAGAGUUAACUGGUUGUAAGCUGGGCAAAUGGCUUAUAAAAUAGCCAAAAAUAUUGAAUGCACUGAAUACAUCUUGUCAUUGAAUGAGGUACGCAUAUGUGAUUGUGGAGCGACCCAUUGGACUCUACAUUGUUGACAAUUAAAAACUCUCAUCCAAUCAUUUGGAUUUUACUAAUCAUGAGCCAUGAAUGCUGCCGUGGGCUUGCUCUUCCUUUUACGAAUGAGUCUUAAUUUCUCAUGGAACCAUAGCCCCUUAUUUUUGCUUCAUAUUAAUUUACCUUUUACUGGGUUUGCAGUAUGUGCCGGAAGGUCAUAUUUAUGUCUUGGGCGACAACCGCAAUAACAGCUAUGAUUCUCAUGACUGGGGACCUCUUCCUGUAAAGAACAUCAUCGGAAGAUUUGUCAUGUGUUGGCACAGGCCGUCAAGCUGCCGCUGACCAUGAUCAUGUGGGUUAGAUACACCAGAAAUCUCCCACGUCUUGAUAGAUAUCAUUGGCAUAUUUAUUCUGCUCCUAGGCAUGAUUUACUCAUUGAUUGAUUGUUUCUUUCAUUGGUGCCAAUAUGGUUGUAACUUGUAGAUUGCAUAUUGUUGGUAAUGUUCACUCCUUGUUGGAUAUAAUAGUGUUACGAGUAGAUUUAACUCGAGCUAUGAUUAGAAUGUGAAAGUUAAAUUAGCUUAUCAAGCAAAUUGGUUGGUAUUGUUCACUUCA